ACCUGGUUGGCUUCAUCAGUAUAGCAUGGGACUCUUAAUCUCAGUGUUGUGAGUUCCAGCCCCACACUGGGCU
rnacentral:tRNA from 1 species